AGCGCAAGUGUGCGAGAGUUUUUUCUACGACGCUUUUCUCUCGUUGAACUACAUUCAAGAUGAUGCUAAUGCUGGAAUUAUGCUACAUUUUGAUAACUUACGGUAAACUGACUUAUAAAAAUCCCACAGAUUUCGAAAAGGAACUGCCGAG